GAGGGUAUAGCUCAGUGGUAGAGCACAUGCUUAGUGUGCAUGAGGUCCUGGGUUCAGUCCCCAGGACCUCUA
rnacentral:tRNA from 1 species